rnacentral:misc_RNA from 1 species
CUCUCCUUGAGAAACCGAGUUAAAACGAUGCAACCUUUACAGUGUUUGGUAACAUAUCCUCCAUGGAAAAGGCAUUGAUUGUCAGUAGAAAAUGAAGCAUUUUCAAGCCCAUCCCACUCAAUCAAGAGCUUUUUUUUUUUUUCUUGUUAAUGUUAAACCCUUUCAUCGUCUUUCGGUUUCAGCCGACAAAAUCAGCUUUAGCAAUUCCAGGUCUCUUUCAGGUAUUUUACCAAACAAAUUAAGUGUGCUGCUGUUGGGCUUUGUAUGGGGUUGGAGAAUUGGGUUUCUUUUUUUUAAUGGUUGAAUUCAGUUAUCCUAUGGGUUUUCUAACGCUCGUAGAAUUUAUGAACUGGGUUAAAUUACCUGGCAAAGAAAGUUGAGCUCUUGGUUUGCUUGAGUCAAGAAUUUGGUGUUUUUGGUGUGUUAUUAGGGUUGAAGAUCUUUUAUGUUGUAGGUGCAAAACAAAGGGAAUUUGCACACGAUUCUGUCCUCCUGCAUUUUCGCAUAAUUGGUGGCUACUACUUAUAGGCCCAAAGCUUUUGCCAUUACAAUAGACAAUGGACCUUGCCAAAAGGAAGAUUGUAAUGAUUGAAAAAUAAAUCACCAAUUUUUCAUUUUUGUUGAAUUAAUUCAUUGGGUUUUAGGAGUUUGAUAAAGCUGCUACUUUGAUAGAAGAAUCUGCUGCAUGCCCUUGAUUCUUGAGUCCUGCUCUUUUUUUUUUUUUUUCUGAUGAAAGGUUAAUUGACUAACUGGCAAGAAUCGAAUAUGCUGAACUUCUUGAGAGGGGGUGACAAAAAGAUAUCUUCUUCGCUGAUGAUUCCUUGUGACAAGCUUCUAUCGUAGUUUAGCAAUAUCCUCUAAUUCUAUAAAUUGUUUAAAUGAAAUUAUUCUUCUGAUUUUAUUUUAUUUUAAUUUUUUUUUUUUUACUUAUGCUACAUUUUCAUAUGUGAUAUGAGAUGAGGUAAAUUCUUUCUAUUAUGUCUUCUUGCCCGACUUUCUGACUAAUCUUCCAGCCAGUGUGUGGCUUUUGUGGGGUCUUUCAGCUGAAUGAGGGCAACAGCCACAUUUUCUUGGCAAUGACAAAGGCAUGCAUAAGUAGAUUUCACAGUAUUCACCAUAAAGCUUCAAGGCCAUUAUCUCCCAGGAGAAGGUAUGGAGGUGGAUAUUUCAGAACCUUAUCCAC